rnacentral:rRNA from 1 species
UACGUAGGCAGCGAGCGUUGUUCGGAGUUACUGGGCGUAAAGGGUGUGUAGGCGGUUGUUUAAGUUUGGUGUGAAAUCUCCCCGGCUCAACUGGGAGGGUGCGCCGAAUACUGAAUGACUUGGAGUGCGGGAGAGGAGAGUGGAAUCCUGGUGUAGCGGUGAAAUGCGUAGAUAUCAGGAGGAACACCGGUGGUGUAGACGGCUCUCUGGACCGUAACUGACGCUGAGACACGAAAGCGUGGGUAGCAAACAGG